GAUGAACGCUGGCGGCGUGCCUAAUACAUGCAAGUCGAGCGAACAGACGAGGAGCUUGCUCCUCUGACGUUAGCGGCGGACGGGUGAGUAACACGUGGAUAACCUACCUAUAAGACUGGGAUAACUUCGGGAAACCGGAGCUAAUACCGGAUAAUAUAUUGAACCGCAUGGUUCAAUAGUGAAAGACGGUUUUGCUGUCACUUAUAGAUGGAUCCGCGCCGCAUUAGCUAGUUGGUAAGGUAACGGCUUACCAAGGCGACGAUGCGUAGCCGACCUGAGAGGGUGAUCGGCCACACUGGAACUGAGACACGGUCCAGACUCCUACGGGAGGCAGCAGUAGGGAAUCUUCCGCAAUGGGCGAAAGCCUGACGGAGCAACGCCGCGUGAGUGAUGAAGGUCUUCGGAUCGUAAAACUCUGUUAUUAGGGAAGAACAAAUGUGUAAGUAACUAUGCACGUCUUAACGGUACCUAAUCAGAAAGCCACGGCUAACUACGU
rnacentral:rRNA from 1 species